rnacentral:rRNA from 1 species
GACGAACGCUGGCGGCGUGCCUAAUACAUGCAAGUUGAGCGAUGAAGAUUGGUGCUUGCACCAAUUUGAAGAGCAGCGAACGGGUGAGUAACGCGUGGGGAAUCUGCCUUUGAGCGGGGGACAACAUUUGGAAACGAAUGCUAAUACCGCAUAACAACUUUAAACAUAAGUUUUAAGUUUGAAAGAUGCAAUUGCAUCACUCAAAGAUGAUCCCGCGUUGUAUUAGCUAGUUGGUGAGGUAAAGGCUCACCAAGGCGAUGAUACAUAGCCGACCUGAGAGGGUGAUCGGCCACAUUGGGACUGAGACACGGCCCAAACUACUACGGGAGGCAGAAGUAGGGAAUCUUCGGCAAUAGACGAAAGUCUGACCGAGCAACGCCGCGUGAGUGAAGAAGGUUUUCGGAUCGUAAAACUCUGUUGGUAGAGAAGAACGUUGGUGAGAGUGGAAAGCUCAUCAAGUGACGGUAACUACACAGAAAGGGACGGCUAACUACGUG